rnacentral:tRNA from 1 species
UCCAUCAUCAGCAACUCCAACUAACAAUUCCAAGUGGCUAGGAUACAUCGCUCUCAUUAGCAAGCGCCGAUGUGGCCGGGGUUCGAUUCCCCGUGACGGAA